CCUACGGGAGGCAGCAGUGGGGAAUAUUGCACAAUGGGCGAAACCCUGAUGCAGCGACGCCGCGUGAGUGAAGAAGGAAUUCGGUAUGUAAAGCUCUAUCAGCAGGGGAGAAAAUGACGGUACCUGAGUAAGAAGCCCCGGCUAACUACGUGCCAGCAGCCGCGGUAAUACGUAGGGAGCAAGCGUUAUACGGAUUUAAUGGGGGUAAAGGGAGCGUAGACGGCAUUGCAAGUCUGGAGUGAAAGGCGGGGGCUCAACCCCCGGACUGCUCUGGAAACUGUACGGCUGGAGUGCAGGAGAGGUAAGUGGAAUUCGUAGUGUAGCGGUGAAAUGCGUAGAUAUUAGGAGGAACACCAGUGGCGAAGGCGGCUUACUGGACUGCAACUGACGUUGAGGCUCGAAAGCGUGGGGAGCAAACAGGAUUAGAUACCCGGGUAGUC
rnacentral:rRNA from 1 species